rnacentral:tRNA from 1 species
GGGGAUUUAGCUCAGUGGCAUAAGCACCUGCCUUGCAAGCAGGCGGUCCUGGGUUCAAUCCCCG